GCGGUCUUGGGCCGCAGCUGCAGUGUGUCUGUGGGCCGUACGCUGCAGCUGGCCUGUGUGGACCCAGACUAUAACAGGAGGCUGAUGAUCCGUCCUGGCAGUUGCAGGUGUGAGCAUGCAUACAGCUGUCUGAUGCUCAUGUAUGAUACUGCGCACAAAC
rnacentral:snoRNA from 1 species